UUAAUCCAUAACAGGCAGUCCUCAGUGACCCUCAUCACUCUGACAACACACACAGUCUCUGUGCAUCCUACCAGUCUGAUAUCACCUGUCUACUCUUCAGCUUAAGAUGAGUGGGACUGACACACUCCCAGCAGGCAGCCAACUGGUACCAGGACAAUAUCUGAUAUCGGUGAACAAACUAUACAAAGCAACAUUUGAGACAGAUGGGAACUUCAUUUUAUCGGACACAGCCCAGAUUUGGUCCACAAAAACAACAGGAAAAGGAGGUGAAAGCAUCAAGAUGGAGCCGGAUGGGAACUUGGUCAUGUACAACGCAUCAAAAUACCCUGUGUGGAUGAGCAACACCGGUAGCACGGCUCAGGAAGGGAUUAAGCUCGUAGUGACCAUUGAUGGGCACCUAAAAAUAAGGCUCUACGAUCAGGAGAUCUGGAGUCGCCCUUAAUGAUAAUCUCCUGAUCCUGAUGUGCCACACGGAUAUAAAAGAAUUAGGAGAGACCUGAGUCUAGCAGAUUAGAACUCUCAAAUAGUUACGUAGGCUAGUCAUCAGCUUCAGCACUGUUAGCAUGAAGCCGAAUGAUUUUACUGAUGAUUAAUGAUUUACUGGUGAUUAAAUGCAUUUAAUAAAGACAAAAAAAACC